rnacentral:rRNA from 1 species
ACGUGGGUAACCUGCCUUAUAGUGGGGGAUAGCCUUUCGAAAGGAAGAUUAAUACCGCAUAAGAUUGUAGUAUCGCAUGAUAUAGCAAUUAAAGGAGCAAUUCGCUAUAAGAUGGACCCGCGUCGCAUUAGCUAGUUGGUGAGGUAAUGGCUCACCAAGGCGACGAUGCGUAGCCGACCUGAGAGGGUGAUCGGCCACAUUGGGACUGAGACACGGCCCAGACUCCUACGGAGGCAGCAUG